GUGGUUUCCCCUUCGCCGGCAGCGGCGGGGCCGGUCUGCGGGCGGGGAGGUGCCGCGGCCGGCCCGGGAGGAUGCGGACACCCUGACGGAGCUGCCGGCUCCGUGCACGGCCGGCGGGAGGCUGCCGGCCUCCCCUCGCCUCGCCUCGCCUCGCCGACACUUUUAGGAUUUGACAGAGUCUGCAGAACAUUUCAUCAGCAGGAGUGAACAUCUGCAGCAGUUUCUGGAAACGACACCCAUUUAUGUGAUUGAAGCAUGACAGAGGUGAUGAACACACGGGAACCGGUGAUGGAGGAAUUCACGCUCAGCCAGUCUCCUGAGGAAGAAGGAGGCCCUUCCAGCCAGGGCUUCCCAGACACGCGUGAGAAAUACCCCAAGCUGUCCAAAAGACUACCAUCGAUCGU